rnacentral:rRNA from 1 species
UACGGAGGAUGCGAGCGUUAUCCGGAUUUAUUGGGUUUAAAGGGUGCGUAGGCGGACCGUCAAGUCAGCGGUAAAAUUGAGAGGCUCAACCCCGUCCGGCCGUUGAAACUGGGGGCCUUGAGUGGGCGAGAAGAAGGCGGAAUGCGUGGUGUAGCGGUGAAAUGCAUAGAUAUCACGCAGAACCCCGAUUGCGAAGGCAGCCUUCCGGCGCCCUACUGACGCUGAGGCACGAAAGUGCGGGGAUCGAACAGG